rnacentral:lncRNA from 1 species
AAAUGAGCUAUUUCGUUGUAUAGAGGUGCUGGUAAAUAUAAUUGUAUGUGUUUAUGUGUAUAUGUAGGGCUGUAAAGCAGCGGCUACAGAAAGAGCGGAGAGAAGAGGAGGAUCGUCUGGAACAGGAAACACAAAGCAAACUUCAUCAAUUCAGAGAGCAGUCCCGAAAAGAGAGGGAAACGCAGAUACACACACUCAGGGAGGAGAACGAGGCUCGGCUGAGAGAAAUGCGCUCGGAACUGGAGGCGGAGCGAGAGAGGCUAGAGGUGCAGAGAAAGAGAGAUCUGGAAACACUGAGGGCGGAGUCGGAGGAGGAGCUUGCAGCGGAGAGGAGGCAGCUGCAGGACAGGAGGGAGGAGCAACUACAUUCACUUAGACUAGAGGGGAGAGCCAGUGACCGACAGAGAGAACUGAGGAGUCCUCGUCCUGAACAGCAACUGUCCGAAUACCAGAGAGAGCUGUCUGAUGUGUUGCAGGAAGUGAGGGAGGAAGUGCAGAGAGAGCACAACAGAAAACUUGAACAGAUCAAAGAGGACCACCGGCAGCAGCUACACACCAUCAGAGUGACACACAUGGAGGAGGAGAGUAUGCAGAGGGAGCGGUUGCUGGGUUCUCUACAGGAGGAGAGGGAGAGGAUGCUAUCCUCACAUUCAGCUCAGCUGGAGCAGCUCAGACUGCAGCUCGACUCCCAACUCCACAACAUCCGCAAAACACACACACACAAGGAGGCUGAAGUACAGGAGAUGAUGGAGCAGCUGGAGCUAAAAGCCAAAGAGCUCAAAACUCAGGAAACAAGAUUACAGGCCCAGGCAGCAGAUUUAAAGAAGAGGAGGCAGCUGCUGGGUGAUGAAGAAGAUGAGGUUGAGAGAGGGAUAGAGGCUCUUCCCCGUCUGCUCAAAGAGAGGGAUCGCCUGCUUGCCGAGCUGGAGCGGAUGAGGGAUGAGAGAGACAGAGCAAGGGAUGAGCUGGAGAGAGAGAAGGAGGAGAGGAAGAGAGUGAGGGAUGAGCUGGAGAGAGAGAAGGGGGAGAGAAGAAAGGAGAGGGAGGAGAAUGGAAGGACCAGGGAGGAGCAAGAAAGACUGCAGACAAAAGUUUCUCUCCUGCAGGAAAGGUGUGAUCGACUCAGCAGGAGAGUCAGGUAACACAAACACACACACACACACACAGACACACACACACACACCUGAGUUUUUGUUAAUUGUUGAAUU